rnacentral:rRNA from 1 species
ACCUGCGGAAGGAUCAUUGUCGAAACCUGCACAGCAGAGCGACCAGUGAACACGUGAACUCAAGUUCUUGGGAGCGGCGAGUCGGAGCGAUCCCCUCGUCGUUCUCAUGCUGUCCCAAGGUGCUUCGGCUCCUUUGGGAUGGACAACGAACCCCACGGCGCGGACUGCGCCAAGGAAACAAAAAAAAGGAACGAGCGUGCAACUUUUUCCGUCUUCGGACGUGUUGGGUUGUGUCGUGAAAUCCGAUCUUCGAACGACUCUCGGCAACGGAUAUCUCGGCUCUCGCAUCGAUGAAGAACGUAGCGAAAUGCGAUACUUGGUGUGAAUUGCAGAAUCCCGUGAACCAUCGAGUUUUUGAACGCAAGUUGCGCCUUAGGCCAUCCGGCCGAGGGCACGUCUGCCUGGGCGUCACGCACUGAGUCGCCUCUUCUUCUCAUAUGAGAGAUGGAGCGGAGAUUGGCCCCCCAUACUUUCGAGUGUGGUCGGCCUAAAAUUUGGCCCUUGGAGGUCGGCGUCACGAUCCGUGGUGGUCGACAGAUUGCUGUCUUAUCCGGAAUCCGUGGUCGCCGCACCUCUUUUUGGACUACCAAGGAACCCUCGAGAGGCUUAGUCCUCCACUCUGCGACCCCA